rnacentral:rRNA from 1 species
GACGAACCGUGCGAACGUUAUUCGGAAUCACUGGGCUUAAAGCGCGUGUAGGCGGCUCGGAACGUCUUUCGCUGAAAUCCCCCGGCUCAACCGGGGAAGGGGCGAGGAUACGACCGAGCUGGAGGGGGGUAGGGGAAUCGGGAACUCCGGUGGAGCGGUGAAAUGCGUUGAGAUCGGAAGGAACGCCCGUGGCGAAAGCGCGGUUCUGGACCCCACCUGACGCUGAGACGCGAAAGCCAGGGGGAGCGAACGGG